rnacentral:rRNA from 1 species
CACGUAGGGCGCAAGCGUUGUCCGGAAUUAUUGGGCGUAAAGAGCUCGUAGGCGGUCUGUUGCGUCUGCUGUGAAAACCCGGGGCUUAACCCCUGGCUUGCAGUGGAUACGGACAGACUAGAGGUAGGUAGGGGAGAAUGGAAUUCCCGGUGUAGCGGUGAAAUGCGCAGAUAUCGGGAGGAACACCGGUGGCGAAGGCGGUUCUCUGGGCCUUACCUGACGCUGAGGAGCGAAGGCCAGGGGAGCAAACGGG